GAGCGAUGGAUUAAGAGCUUGCUCUUAUGAAGUUAGCGGCGGACGGGUGAGUAACACGUGGGUAACCUGCCCAUAAGACUGGGAUAACUCCGGGAAACCGGGGCUAAUACCGGAUAACAUUUUGAACUGCAUGGUUCGAAAUUGAAAGGCGGCUUCGGCUGUCACUUAUGGAUGGACCCGCGUCGCAUUAGCUAGUUGGUGAGGUAACGGCUCACCAAGGCAACGAUGCGUAGCCGACCUGAGAGGGUGAUCGGCCACACUGGGACUGAGACACGGCCCAGACUCCUACGGGAGGCAGCAGUAGGGAAUCUUCCGCAAUGGACGAAAGUCUGACGGAGCAACGCCGCGUGAGUGAUGAAGGCUUUCGGGUCGUAAAACUCUGUUGUUAGGGAAGAACAAGUGCUAGUUGAAUAAGCUGGCACCUUGACGGUACCUAACCAGAAAGCCACGGCUAACUACGUGCCAGCAGCCGCGGUAAUACGUAGGUGGCAAGCGUUAUCCGGAAUUAUUGGGCGUAAAGCGCGCGCAGGUGGUUUC
rnacentral:rRNA from 1 species